AAGGAUCAUUGCCGAGUUUACAACUCCCAAACCCCUGUGAACAUACCACUUGUUGCCUCGGCGGAUCAGCCCGCUCCCGGUAAAACGGGACGGCCCGCCAGAGGACCCCUAAACUCUGUUUCUAUAUGUAACUUCUGAGUAAAACCAUAAAUAAAUCAAAACUUUCAACAACGGAUCUCUUGGUUCUGGCAUCGAUGAAGAACGCAGCAAAAUGCGAUAAGUAAUGUGAAUUGCAGAAUUCAGUGAAUCAUCGAAUCUUUGAACGCACAUUGCGCCCGCCAGUAUUCUGGCGGGCAUGCCUGUUCGAGCGUCAUUUCAACCCUCAAGCACAGCUUGGUGUUGGGACUCGCGUUAAUUCGCGUUCCCCAAAUUGAUUGGCGGUCACGUCGAGCUUCCAUAGCGUAGUAGUAAAACCCUCGUUACUGGUAAUCGUCGCGGCCACGCCGUUAAACCCCAACUUCUGGAUGUUGACCUCGGAUCAGGUAGGAAUACCCGCUGAACU
rnacentral:rRNA from 1 species